rnacentral:rRNA from 1 species
CAGAGGUCUCAAGCGUUGUUCGGAUUCAUUGGGCGUAAAGGGUGCGUAGGCGGUGAGGUAAGUUGGAUGUGAAAUCCCGGGGCUUAACCCCGGAACUGCAUUCAAUACUGCCUUGCUAGAGUACUGGAGAGGAGAUUGGAAUUCACGGUGUAGCAGUGAAAUGCGUAGAUAUCGUGAGGAAGACCAGUGGCGAAGGCGAAUCUCUGGACAGUAACUGACGCUGAGGCACGAAGGCUAGGGGAGCAAACGGGAUUAGAUACCCCGGUAGUCCUAGCAGUAAACGGUGCACGUUUAGUAUGGGAGGAUUCGACCCCUUCCGUGCUGGAGCUAACGCGUUAAACGUGCCGCCUGGGGAGUACGGUCGCAAGAUUA